rnacentral:tRNA from 2 species
GACGUCGUGGUGGGACGGCGUCGACCACGGCCCGUUCGUGGCGGAUCCGGCGCGGUUCCUGGCCGAGACGACGGCG